GCCUCAGUGGUCGAGUAGUAUGAUUUGUCCUUCGGGAGUUAAACCCGUGAGCAGGGAAUUGAACCUGCGCUUACAUAAUUGGAUGCGGUCCUGGGUUCAAUUCCCAGCUGGAGCC